UACGGGGGGGGCAAGCGUUGUUCGGAAUUACUGGGCGUAAGGGCUCGUAGGUGGCCAACUAAGUCAUACGUGAAAUCCCUCGGCUUAACCGGGGAACUGCGUGUGAUACUGGAUGGCUUGAGUUCGGGAGAGGGAUGCGGAAUUCCAGGUGUAGCGGUGAAAUGCGUAGAUAUCUGGAGGAACACCGGUGGCGAAGGCGGCAUCCUGGACCGACACUGACACUGAGGAGCGAAAGCCAGGGGAGCAAACGGG
rnacentral:rRNA from 1 species